rnacentral:tRNA from 1 species
GGCCUCGUAGCUCAGCUGUUAGAGUAUGCGCUGUACAAACGCGUAGGCGGUGUCCAUGCGUGGUUUCGAAUCUCAUCGAGGCUA